GGGUUGUGAGGUUAAGCGACUAAGCGUACACGGUGGAUGCCCUGGCAGUCAGAGGCGAUGAAGGACGUGCUAAUCUGCGAAAAGCGUCGGUAAGGUGAUAUGAACCGUUACAGCCGGCGAUGUCCGAAUGGGGAAACCCAGUGCAAUUCGUUGCACUAUCGUUAACUGAAUACAUAGGUUAACGAGGCGAACCGGGGGAACUGAAACAUCUAAGUACCCCGAGGAAAAGAAAUCAACCGAGAUUCCCCCAGUAGCGGCGAGCGAACGGGGAGCAGCCCAGAGUCUGAAUCAGCUUGUGUGUUAGUGGAACGGUCUGGAAAGUCCGACGGUACAGGGUGAUAGUCCCGUACACCAAAAUGCACAGGCUGUGAACUCGAAGAGUAGGGCGGGACACGUGGUAUCCUGUCUGAAUAUGGGGGGACCAUCCUCCAAGGCUAAAUACUCCUGACUGACCGAUAGUGAACCAGUACCGUGAGGGAAAGGCGAAAAGAACCCCGGCGAGGGGAGUGAAAAAGAACCUGAAACCGUGUACGUACAAGCAGUGGGAGCACCUUCGGGUGUGACUGCGUACCUUUUGUAUAAUGGGUCAGCGACUUAUAUUCUGUAGCAAGGUUAACCGUAUAGGGGAGCCGCAGGGAAACCGAGUCUUAACUGGGCGUUAAGUUGCAGGGUAUAGACCCGAAACCCGGUGAUCUAGCCAUGGGCAGGUUGAAGGUUGGGUAACACUAACUGGAGGACCGAACCGACUAAUGUUGAAAAAUUAGCGGAUGACUUGUGGCUGGGGGUGAAAGGCCAAUCAAACCGGGAGAUAGCUGGUUCUCCCCGAAAGCUAUUUAGGUAGCGCCUCGUGAACUCAUCUUCGGGGGUAGAGCACUGUUUCGGCUAGGGGGUCAUCCCGACUUACCAACCCGAUGCAAACUACGAAUACCGAAGAAUGUUAUCACGGGAGACACACGGCGGGUGCUAACGUCCGUCGUGAAGAGGGAAACAACCCAGACCGCCAGCUAAGGUCCCAAAGUCAUGGUUAAGUGGGAAACGAUGUGGGAAGGCACAGACAGCCAGGAUGUUGGCUUAGAAGCAGCCAUCAUUUAAAGAAAGCGUAAUAGCUCACUGGUCGAGUCGGCCUGCGCGGAAGAUGUAACGGGGCUAAACCAUGCACCGAAGCUGCGGCAGCGACACUAUGUGUUGUUGGGUAGGGGAGCGUUCUGUAAGCCUGCGAAGGUGUGCUGUGAGGCAUGCUGGAGGUAUCAGAAGUGCGAAUGCUGACAUAAGUAACGAUAAAGCGGGUGAAAAGCCCGCUCGCCGGAAGACCAAGGGUUCCUGUCCAACGUUAAUCGGGGCAGGGUGAGUCGACCCCUAAGGCGAGGCCGAAAGGCGUAGUCGAUGGGAAACAGGUUAAUAUUCCUGUACUUGGUGUUACUGCGAAGGGGGGACGGAGAAGGCUAUGUUAGCCGGGCGACGGUUGUCCCGGUUUAAGCAUGUAGGCUGGUUGUCCAGGCAAAUCCGGAUAAUCAAGGCUGAGGUGUGAUGACGAGGCACUACGGUGCUGAAGUAACAAAUGCCCUGCUUCCAGGAAAAGCCUCUAAGCAUCAGGUAACAUCAAAUCGUACCCCAAACCGACACAGGUGGUCAGGUAGAGAAUACCAAGGCGCUUGAGAGAACUCGGGUGAAGGAACUAGGCAAAAUGGUGCCGUAACUUCGGGAGAAGGCACGCUGGUGUGUAGGUGAAGCCCCUGCGGGUGGAGCUGAGACCAGUCGAAGAUACCAGCUGGCUGCAACUGUUUAUUAAAAACACAGCACUGUGCAAACACGAAAGUGGACGUAUACGGUGUGACGCCUGCCCGGUGCCGGAAGGUUAAUUGAUGGGGUUAUCCGUAAGGAGAAGCUCUUGAUCGAAGCCCCGGUAAACGGCGGCCGUAACUAUAACGGUCCUAAGGUAGCGAAAUUCCUUGUCGGGUAAGUUCCGACCUGCACGAAUGGCGUAAUGAUGGCCAGGCUGUCUCCACCCGAGACUCAGUGAAAUUGAACUCGCUGUGAAGAUGCAGUGUACCCGCGGCAAGACGGAAAGACCCCGUGAACCUUUACUAUAGCUUGACACUGAACAUUGAGCCUUGAUGUGUAGGAUAGGUGGGAGGCUUUGAAGCGUGGACGCCAGUCUGCGUGGAGCCAACCUUGAAAUACCACCCUUUAAUGUUUGAUGUUCUAACGUUGGCCCCUUACCGGGGUUGCGGACAGUGUCUGGUGGGUAGUUUGACUGGGGCGGUCUCCUCCCAAAGCGUAACGGAGGAGCACGAAGGUUAGCUAAUCCUGGUCGGACAUCAGGAGGUUAGUGCAAUGGCAUAAGCUAGCUUGACUGCGAGCGUGACGGCGCGAGCAGGUGCGAAAGCAGGUCAUAGUGAUCCGGUGGUUCUGAAUGGAAGGGCCAUCGCUCAACGGAUAAAAGGUACUCCGGGGAUAACAGGCUGAUACCGCCCAAGAGUUCAUAUCGACGGCGGUGUUUGGCACCUCGAUGUCGGCUCAUCACAUCCUGGGGCUGAAGUAGGUCCCAAGGGUAUGGCUGUUCGCCAUUUAAAGUGGUACGCGAGCUGGGUUUAGAACGUCGUGAGACAGUUCGGUCCCUAUCUGCCGUGGGCGCUGGAGAAUUGAGGGGGGCUGCUCCUAGUACGAGAGGACCGGAGUGGACGCAUCACUGGUGUUCGGGUUGUCAUGCCAAUGGCACUGCCCGGUAGCUAAAUGCGGAAGAGAUAAGUGCUGAAAGCAUCUAAGCACGAAACUUGCCCCGAGAUGAGUUCUCCCUGAGACUUUAAGUCUCCUGAAGGAACGUUGAAGACGACGACGUUGAUAGGCCGGGUGUGUAAGCGCAGCGAUGCGUUGAGCUAACCGGUACUAAUGAACCGUGAGGCUUAACCUUACAACGCCGAAG
rnacentral:rRNA from 1 species